rnacentral:rRNA from 1 species
AUUGAACGCUGGCGGCAGGCCUAACACAUUCAAGUCGAGCGGAUGAAGGGAGCUUGCUCCUGGAUUCAGCGGCGGACGGGUGAGUAAUGCCUAGGAAUCUGCCUGGUAGUGGGGGAUAACGUCCGGAAACGGGCGCUAAUACCGCAUACGUCCUGAGGGAGAAAGUGGGGGAUCUUCGGACCUCACGCUAUCAGAUGAGCCUAGGUCGGAUUAGCUAGUUGGUGGGGUAAAGGCCUACCAAGGCGACGAUCCGUAACUGGUCUGAGAGGAUGAUCAGUCACACUGGAACUGAGACACGGUCCAGACUCCUACGGGAGGCAGCAGUGGGGAAUAUUGGACAAUGGGCGAAAGCCUGAUCCAGCCACGCCGCGUGUGUGAAGAAGGUCUUCGGAUUGUAAAGCACUUUAAGUUGGGAGGAAGGGCAGUAAGUUAAUACCUUGCUGUUUUGACGUUACCAACAGAAUAAGCACCGGCUAACUUCGUG